rnacentral:rRNA from 1 species
UACGUAGGUGGCAAGCGUUGUCCGGAUUUACUGGGCGUAAAGAGCGCGCAGGCGGCUGGUCAAGUCCGAUGUGAAAUCUCCCGGCUUAACUGGGAAACUGCAUCGGAAACGUAUCGGCUUGAAGGUGGGAGAGGGUAGUGGAAUUCCUGGUGUAGUGGUGAAAUGCGUAGAUAUCGGGAGGAACACCAGUGGCGAAGGCGACUCUUUGGCCUGUAACUGACGCUGAGGCGCGAAAGCGUGGGGAGCAAACAGG